rnacentral:rRNA from 1 species
AGAACGAACGCUGGCGGCAUGCCUAACACAUGCAAGUCGAACGCUCUUGGGGCUUCGGUUCCAAGGGAGUGGCGCACGGGUGAGUAGCGCGUGGGAACCUGCCCUGGAGUGGGGGGAUAACCGAGGGAAACUUCGGCUAAUACCGCAUGCGCCCGGGAAACCGGGGAAAGAUUUAUCGCUCUAGGAGGGGCCCGCGUCGGAUUAGCUAGUUGGUGGGGUAACGGCCUACCAAGGCUUUGAUCCGUAGCUGGUCUGAGAGGAUGAUCAGCCACACUGGGACUGAGACACGGCCCAGACUCCUACGGGAGGCAGCAGUGGGGAAUAUUGGACAAUGGGCGAAAGCCUGAUCCAGCCAUGCCGCGUGAGUGAUGAAGGCCCUAGGGUUGUAAAGCUCUUUCGUCAGGGACGAUAAUGACGGUACCUGAAGAAGAAGCCCCGGCUAACUUCGCGCCAGCAGCCGC